UACGAAGGGGGCUAGCGUUGCUCGGAAUGACUGGGCGUAAAGGGCGCGUAGGCGGAUUAUUAAGUCAGGCGUGAAAUUCCCGGGCUUAACCUGGGGGCUGCGUUUGAUACGCAUAGUCUAGAGUGCGGAAGAGGGUCGUGGAAUUCCCAGUGUAGAGGUGAAAUUCGUAGAUAUUGGGAAGAACACCGGUGGCGAAGGCGGCGACCUGGUCCGCAACUGACGCUGAGGCGCGAAAGCGUGGGGAGCAAACAGG
rnacentral:rRNA from 1 species